rnacentral:rRNA from 1 species
UACAGAGGGGGCAAGCGUUGUUCGGAAUUACUGGGCGUAAAGGGCGCGUAGGCGGCCAACUAAGUCGGACGUGAAAUCCCAAGGCUCAACCUUGGAACUGCGUCCGAUACUGGAUGGCUUGAAUUCGGGAGAGGGAUGUGGAAUUCCAGGUGUAGCGGUGAAAUGCGUAGAUAUCUGGAGGAACACCGGUGGCGAAGGCGGCAUCCUGGACCGAUAUUGACGCUGAGGCGCGAAAGCCAGGGGAGCAAACGGG